GCUAAAAGCAGAAGUUGUCUGAAGCCAGCUUGUCAUUCUCUCUUUCGUGAAGAUCUUACCAAGCUAAGGAGCAGAUGCUUGGGGCCCCGGGGAUUGGAGCAUGCGGGGCCUUACUGUGUUUGGUUGAGAAGAGGAGGAACAGGAUUUCUUCAAGCAGUGGGAGAUCUGCAGCCUCUUUAUUUAGCCCAGCCACCAAGUAAAGAAGUCCAGGCUACCUUUCUGGAGAAGCCACAUGGAGAAGAGAGGUCCUGGAGGUUGGGAGGCCACAUGGAGAACUGAGGCAUCCCAGCUGACAGCCAGCACCAACUGCCAGCCAUGUGAGCGUGCCUUAUUGGAAGUAGACCCUACAGCCCCAAUCAAAGCUUCAGAUGAUGCCUUGACUGACACCUUGACUACAACCUCAUGAGUCCCUGAGCCAGAACCAUCCAGCUAAACCACUCCCAAUCUGACCCACAGAAACUCUGAGAUAAUGUAUGUUUGUUGUUUUAAGCCACUAAGUUAUGGAAAACAAUAACUUAGCACAGCAAUCAAUGACAAAUUCAAUAGUUCCUAGAAGCCCAGAGAAAGUAAUGGUCCAUGCUGAACAACAUAGGAAUGCCUGAUUUGCCCCUGAAAGAUAGUAGAGAAAGAAAUAAAGAAGUUGAAGGAAGUGAGAAAGCUGGAAUGGAUACAUUAUGUGAGGCCAGAGGAUCAUGCUCUAUGAGAGGCCUCAGAGCACACACCAUCAACCAAGGCUAUCAGGGGUACCAUCACCAUGAAGAGGUCCAGUGGUAAUUCUCCUCUCCAGGCCAGAGAGGUGGUCACAGGGCUGGGCUGGUUAGUAUCCACAGGGAUGUCUCCUCAUUCUCAAGUAACAGAGGCCAGGUACAUUAGGC
rnacentral:lncRNA from 1 species